AGGAAGCGGCGGGGCUGGCCCGGCGUUGCCCUCUUCCCACCCUGGAAGGGCAGAGCCGGGAACUGGGGCCGUUUCCCGAGCGUCCCCAAGGCUCAGGCUGGACCCGAGACUUGCUGUCUCUGGUCUCCUGCAGCUAACGGCACUCUGGUCACAAUUCUACGCUGUUGUGAGCCGUGCGUGUGUGAUGGAUCGGCCACAGGGACCCAAGAGGACAGGGUUCCGGAAGCUUCCGGAGAGCCUAGCACAUGGAGGCCGACACAGGAAGGAUGAAGACCUGGCGGCUGCCACUUUGAACCCAUCUCAGCAAAUGGCGUCUCCAUCAUCCUGGUCAUUUGCACCUAAAACCUUGGCGUCCUCCUCGUCUCUCACACCCACAUCGGAGCCUUCAGCAGAUCCAGUGAACUCCACCCUCAAAAUACACCCAAGCAUGCAAACAGGUCUCUCUGCCUUUCCCGCCCCCAUUUCUCUCCAAGCCAUUGUCUUGGGCACCUGGGUCUUGCAGUUUUUCGCCUGACUGGUUUUUCUACUUCUGCACUUGGCCUCUGAUGGCCUCAUCCGUGUGACAGCUGGGGAAGUCCUUUGAACACAUAGAUCUGUCUUCCUCGGCCCUUUGCUCAAAGCCUGUCAUUGGAGAGAAAUCCAAAGCCCUUCCCUUUGCCUGCAAUACCCUCUCGGAAACCCCACCCAUCGUCUCCGGUCUGUUUCUUUUCUUUUCUUUCU